GACGAACGCUGGCGGCGUGCUUAACACAUGCAAGUCGAACGAAGUGGCGAACGGGUGAGUAACGCGUAAUCAACCUGCCCUUCAGAGGGGGACAACAGUUGGAAACGACUGCUAAUACCGCAUACGGAAGGAGGGGUUUGUGUCUGGUUGGCUAGUUGGCGGGGUAACGGCCCACCAAGGCUGUGAUCAGUAGCCGGUCUGGGAGGAUGAACGGCCAAAUUGGGACUGGGACACGGCCCAGACUCCUACGGGAGGCAGCAGUGGGGAAUCUUCCGCAAUGGACGAAAGUCUGACGGAGCAACGCCGCGUGAGUGAUGACGGCCUUCGGGUUGUAAAGCUCUUUUAAUCGGGACGCGGUACCGGAAUAGAAAGCCACGGCUAACUACGUGCCAGCAGCCGCGGUAAUAC
rnacentral:rRNA from 1 species